GUGGGGCCUGCAGGUAGACUGCAGAAGGACUAACAGUGGUAUAGAGCAACACGGGUGGGGCCUGCAGGUAGACUGCAGAAGGACUAACAGUGGUAUAGAGCAACACGGGUGGGGCCUGCAGGUAGACUGCAGAAGGACUAACAGUGGUAUAGAGCAACACGGGUGGGGCCUGCAGGUAGACUGCAGAAGGACUAACAGUGGUAUAGAGCAACACGGGUGGGGCCUGCAGGUAGACUGCAGAAGGACUAACAGUGGUAUAGAGCAACACGGGUGGGGCCUGCAGGUAGACUGCAGAAGGACUAACAGUGGUAUAGAGCAACACGGGUGGGGCCUGCAGGUAGACUGCAGAAGGACUAACAGUGGUAUAGAGCAACACAGGUGGGGCCUGCAGGUAGACUGCAGAAGGACUAACAGUGGUAUAGAGCAACACGGGUGGGGCCUGCAGGUAGACUGCAGAAGGACUAACAGUGGUAUAGAGCAACACGGGUGGGGCCUGCAGGUAGACUGCAGAAGGACUAACAGUGGUAUAGAGCAACACGGGUGGGGCCUGCAGGUAGACUGCAGAAGGACUAACAGUGGUAUAGAGCAACACG